rnacentral:misc_RNA from 1 species
GGCAAUUCCUAUGAGGGUGUCCAUAAAACUUUAUAGCGGGUACGGAAUGUCUUUUAUAGGCAAGGCAUGAAAACAACGGUUCAAGAAUAUGUCUCGGCUUGUCCAGUUUGCCAGCGGAAUAAGGCCAAACAUUCGUACCUACUAGGAUUAUUUCAACCACUUUUCAUACCUACACAAAUAUGGGUAUACGAGUAAUGUUUGCAAGGAGCUUUUUCUGUUAUGCAGUACCAAGUUAGCUUUCUCCUUCGCCUACCAUCUGUAGACAGAUGGCCAAACCUAGGUGGUGAAUAGAAGAAUCGAGAUGUAUUUACGUUGCUUUUUCGGAGAUAGGUCAAGCAUAUGGGUUGACGGAUUCCAUGGGUUGAAUAUUGGUACAACACCUUUAUUCACACAGCUUUUCUCACUUAACCUUUUAAAGUGGUCUAUGGCCACAACACACCCUUUUUAUUGUCUUAUGUGGCGGGAUGUGGUUUUGAAGGAAAUUCACACUUGCCUUCAGUAGACCCAACAUCAUAUGAAGGAACAUUAUUGUUGAAAUUGGUAUUUUGAGAGAAAAAAUCUUUAUU